rnacentral:rRNA from 1 species
GCAUAUCAAUAAGCGGAGGAAAAGAAACCAACAGGGAUUGCCCUAGUAACGGCGAGUGAAGCGGCAAUAGCUCAAAUUUGAAAUCUGGCUCUUUCAGAGUCCGAGUUGUAAUUUGCAGAGGGCGCUUUGGCAUUGGCAGCGGUCCAAGUUCUUUGGAACAGGACGUCACAGAGGGUGAGAAUCCCGUACGUGGUCGCUAGCCUUUGCUGUGUAAAGCCCCUUCGACGAGUCGAGUUGUUUGGGAAUGCAGCUCUAAAUGGGAGGUAAAUUUCUUCUAAAGCUAAAUACUGGCCAGAGACCGAUAGCGCACAAGUAGAGUGAUCGAAAGAUGAAAAGCACUUUGGAAAGAGAGUCAAAUAGCACGUGAAAUUGUUGAAAGGGAAGCGCUUGCAGCCAGACUUGCCUGUAGUUGCUUAUCUGGACUUUUGUCCAGUGCACUCUUCUGCGGGCAGGCCAGCAUCAGUUUGGGCGGUUGGAUAAAGGUCUCUGUCAUGUACCUCUCUUCGGGGAGGCCUUAUAGGGGAGACGACAUGCAACCAGCCUGGACUGAGGUCCGCGCAUUUGCUAGGAUGCUGGCGUAAUGGCUGUAAGCGGCCCGUCUUGAAACACGGACCAAGGAGUCUAACAUCUAUGCGAGUGUUUGGGUGUCAAGCCCAGACGCGUAAUGAAAGUGAACGGAGGUGGGAACCUUUUAGGUGCACCAUCGACCGAUCCUGAUGUCUUCGGAAGGAUUUGAGUAAGAGCAUGGCUGUUGGGACCCGAAAGAUGGUGAACUAUGCUUGAAUAGGGUGAAGCCAGAGGAAACUCUGGUGGAGGCUCGCAGCGGUUCUGACGUGCAAAUCGAUCGUCAAAUUUGGGCAUAGGGGCGAAAGACUAAUCGA